rnacentral:rRNA from 1 species
GACGAACGCUGGCGGCGUGCUUAACACAUGCAAGUCGAACGCUGAAGCUCAGCUUUUGUUGGGUGGAUGAGUGGCGAACGGGUGAGUAACACGUGAGUAACCUGCCUCCUUCUUUGGGAUAACGCCCGGAAACGGGUGCUAAUACUGGAUAUUCACUGGUCUUCGCAUGGGGGUUGGUGGAAAGGGUUUUUCUGGUGGGGGAUGGGCUCGCGGCCUAUCAGCUUGUUGGUGGGGUGAUGGCCUACCAAGGCUUUGACGGGUAGCCGGCCUGAGAGGGUGACCGGUCACAUUGGGACUGAGAUACGGCCCAGACUCCUACGGGAGGCAGCAGUGGGGAAUAUUGCGCAAUGGGCGCAAGCCUGAUGCAGCGCCGCCGCGUGAGGGAUGGAGGCCUUCGGGUUGUGAACCUCUUUCGCUCAUGGUCAAGCCGCAACAAUGGUUGUGGUGAGGGUAGUGGGUAAAGAAGCGCCGGCUAACUACGUG